rnacentral:rRNA from 1 species
GAGUUUGAUCCUGGCUCAGGAUGAACGCUGGCGGCGUGCUUAACACAUGCAAGUCGAACGGGCUCAUAUUGAAACCUAGUGAUGUAUGAGUUACUGGCGGACGGGUGAGUAACGCGUGGAGAACCUGCCGUAUACUGGGGGAUAACACUUAGAAAUAGGUGCUAAUACCGCAUAAGCGCACAGCUUCGCAUGAAGCAGUGUGAAAAACUCCGGUGGUAUACGAUGGAUCCGCGUCUGAUUAGCUGGUUGGCGGGGUAACAGCCCACCAAGGCGACGAUCAGUAGCCGGCCUGAGAGGGUGAACGGCCACAUUGGGACUGAGACACGGCCCAAACUCCUACGGGAGGCAGCAGUGGGGAAUAUUGCACAAUGGGGGAAACCCUGAUGCAGCGACGCCGCGUGAGUGAAGAAGUAUUUCGGUAUGUAAAGCUCUAUCAGCAGGGAAGAAAUACUGACCUUACGGUCAGCAGACGGUACCUGACUAAGAAGCCCCGGCUAACUACGUGCCAGCAGCCGCGGUAAUACGUAGGGGGCAAGCGUUAUCCGGAUUUACUGGGUGUAAAGGGAGCGUAGACGGCAGCGCAAGUCUGAAGUGA